CAAAAAUGUAUUUAUUAUUAUUACGUAUGGCAUGUACAUGUGUGACUUUGCAUACACAUGUACAUCCAUGCAGUAUGCAUGAGGUAGUCCUAACUUGUUUCCUACUGUGGUAAUAAGCACCACUGCCAAAAACUAGCUGCGAAGGAGAGGGUUUUUUCAUCCAUGUCACAGCCCAUCAGGGGUAAGAGCUCAAGUAGGGCAGGAACCUGGGAGCAAGAACUGGAGUGGAAGCUGUAGGUGAGUGCUGCUUGCUCUAUGUGGCUCGCUCAGUCUGCUCUACAGCCCAGGACGACCUGCCCAGGGAUGGCACUGAUCUAAAUGGCCUCUGCCCUCCCACAUCAAUCAUUAAUCAAGAAAAUGCCCAUAGACUUGCCUAAAGACUGUCUGAUGGAGGCAUUUUCUCAAUGAAAGCUCCCUCUUCCUGGAUGAUGCUAGUCUGUGUCAAGUCAACAAAACAAAACACAAAACAAAACAAAACAAAACAAAAACCCUAAGAAACCAAAACAAAACCUAGCACACAAGGCUUGGAUAGCCUGUGCUUUAUCUACUGCAAAGGCCAGAAGAGAGCAUCAGAUCACAAAAUUAUGGAAUGAGGUGGGUGCCUAGGAGAUCAGUAAGCAUUAGGAACUGCUAAGCCAUCUCCCUAGUCCCAUCAAACACAUCUGUGAUCUAAGCACUGAGGAGGUAGAUGCAGAAAGAUCAGGAAUUUGGAAUCAUCCUUAGCCACAGAGUAAGUUUAAAUUCAGUCUAGAUUGUUUGAGACUCUGUCUCAAAAAUCCAAGUGAGAGCCAUUUAUUUGGGACUGGGUGUGGUCUCUUAUACUAGAACUCUCUCAGUGUACACAGACCCUGGUCUCAACCUCCAGCACCACAUCCAUGUACACAAAAAGAAUCUCUCUCCGUGAUGCAGCCAGCAUGUGCUUCUCCUUGUUGGAAUCGUAUUUCAUUAUGUGGCUGGAUCACAGGGCACACAGAAAUCAAGAUGGAAAUGACCUGGAAACCACCUCUCUCCUGGUCAGCUCUUCUAAUGUCAGAAGAUGUUAUGCAGGCUGUUGGGGAAGGCCAUCCUUUGCUACAGAAGACAAGAUCUCACACAGUCCCGGGUGGUCUCUGACUCUGGCUGUCGUGAGGAUGACUUUGAACUGAUCCUCCUGUCUCCGUUUCUUGAGUACUGGAAUGUCAGGCCUGUGUCAUCAUGCUUGAUUUACAGGUCCUGGGAUAUUGAACACAGCCCUUUGCACAAGCUGGGUAAGCACUUUUUAUCAACCUCUCUCUAAUAAAAAGUUUAAUUCACGUACCAGGGGUAAUUUUACUGUCUUUAAACAUUUUUUUUUUCAGCCAGGCAUAGUGGUGCAUGCCUUUAAUCCCAGUACU